CAGCUAUCUGGGAUUUUAACAUAUCUAAAGAAGGAUUGUGUCAUUCCAAGCCAACUAGAUUAUUCCCGGAAUCUUGGAAAACAGGAACUGCAGAGGUCUAUGGGUUCUUGGCCCCAGACCUGGGAGAUUUAAGGUGAGGAGAGAUGGAUGCUCUGGGAUGUGUUAAUUCAACCUACUAAGCUUUCAGGUCACUGUACCUUCGACUCUCGCAGAUUCUACUGUACCUUUCCAUGGGCAGGAACCUCUCUGCUGCUUUUCUAACCACACCCAGGGGUACAGCGCAUGGUUGGACCUUCAUGGAAUAUAUGACAGCCCCUUUCCGGUUCAGUUUCCUGAUCAGCAGAAUGAUAGCUAUGCUCCCACACUCUGCAGAUAUAUUGGAAUCCCGGGCCCUUCUGCUGGAUUCCACCGUCUUGAAACUUGAGUCAGGUAUAGACACUGUACCUGCCGACUGCUGUGGCAGAGCAGGUAACUGAGGUACAGAGUUUCUACAUGACAUGGUUCAUCUGGAAGUAGUAGUGGAUCCAUUUCACCUUACAUGCUGCUUGGGGCUGUGUCU
rnacentral:lncRNA from 1 species